rnacentral:rRNA from 1 species
UAUCUCUGUAGAGUCUGCAUAUCAAUAAGCGGAGGAAAAGAAACUAACUAGGAUUCCCUUAGUAACGGCGAGUGAAGCGGGAAGAGCUCAAAUUUGAAAUCUUCAAGGUUCUACCUUGACGAAUUGUAGUUUAAAGAAGUGUUUUCUGUUGAAGUUUCGGUAAAAGUUCUUUGGAAUAGGACAUCAUAGAGGGUGAGAAUCCCGUAUUUGACCGUUAUCUUUCAGCUGUGUGAUACACUUUCAAAGAGUCGGAUUGUUUGGGAUGCAGUCCAAAAUGGGUGGUAAAUUUCAUCUAAAGCUAAAUAUUGGCGAGAGACCGAUAGCGAACAAGUACCGUGAGGGAAAGAUGAAAAGAACUUUGAAAAGAGAGUUAAACAGUACGUGAAAUUGUCAAAAGGGAAGCGUUUGACACCAGUGUUGUUUUCUCGAAAAUCAAUUAAAAAUGACCGGAUUUUGUGUUGUAUUGACUUUAUCAGCUUUCUGCACUUUUUUCUUGUCUUUUUUAAUGCACUUUUCGUUUAACAAGUCAACAUCAAUUUCUUUUGUUGUAAAAGGGUCAUUGGAAGGUGGCUUUCACUUCGGUGAAAGUGUUUAUAGCCUUUGACUUCUGCAAUCGGAGAGAUUGAGGUCUGCAGCGUAGAUCCUUCGGGGUUAGAUACAUUUGUGCUAAGUUAUAGUUUUUCAUAGACAACAUGUUGACUAUGAUUAAUCAUGUAGCUUACUCGCUUAUGCUAUUUUACCUACGCUUAGGAUGUUGAACGCGCACAGAGUCUC